rnacentral:tRNA from 1 species
GGGCGGCUAGCUCAAUUAGGCAGAGCAACGGACUCUUAAUCCGUAGGUUGAAGGUUCGAUUCCUUCGCCGCUCACCA